CCUACGGGGGGCAGCAGUGGGGAAUAUUGCACAAUGGGCGAAAGCCUGAUGCAGCGACGCCGCGUGAGCGAUGAAGGCCGUCGGGUCGUAAAGCUCUGUCCUAAGGGAAGAAGAUUGACGGUACCUUAGGAGGAAGCCCCGGCUAACUACGUGCCAGCAGCCGCGGUAAUACGUAGGGGGCGAGCGUCAUCCGGAAUUACUGGGCGUAAAGGGUGCGUAGGCGGCUUUAUAAGUUAGGUGUGAAAGGAUUCGGCUCAACGGAAGUGGGCUCUUGAAACUGUAGGGCUUGAGUGCAGGAGAGGAGAGCGGAAUUCGUAGUGUAGCGGUGAAAAGCGGAGUUAUUAGGAGGAACACAAGUGGCGACGGCGGCUCUCUGGACUGUAGCUGACGCUGGGGCACGAAAGCGUAGGGAGCAAAAAGGAUUAGAUACCCCUGUAGUC
rnacentral:rRNA from 1 species